rnacentral:rRNA from 1 species
AGAGUUUGAUCCUGGCUCAGGACGAACGCUGGCGGCGUGCCUAACACAUGCAAGUCAAGGGGAAAGUUUUGCUUCGGCGGAGCGAGUAUACUGGCGGACGGGUGAGUAACGCGUAGGCAACCUGCCCUUACGGAUGGGAUAACCCAGCGAAAGUUGGACUAAUACCGUAUAAAACGACUGUACUACCUAGUAUAGUUGUCAAAGGUUGCUUUUCGGAGCAAUCGCGUAAGGAUGGGCCUGCGUUCCAUUAGUUAGUUGGUGAGGUAAUGGCUCACCAAGGCGACGAUGGAUAGCUGGUUUGAGAGAGUGAUCAGCCACACUGGGACUGAGAUACGGCCCAGACUCCUACGGGAGGCAGCAGUGAGGAAUAUUGCGCAAUGGAGGAAACUCUGACGCAGCAACGCCGCGUGGGGGAUGAAGUUCUAUGGAGUGUAAACCCCUGUAAGUAGGGACGAAAGUUAUAUAUUCGAAUAGGGUAUAUAUAUGACGGUACCUACAGAGUAAGCUCCGGCUAACUCCGUGCCAGCAGCCGCGGUAAUACGGGGGGAGCAAGCGUUGUCCGGAAUUACUGGGCGUAAAGGGCGUGUAGGCGGUAGCCCCCGGCUUAACCGGGGAUUGUCAUUUGAAACUGUUAGGCUUGAGUGCGAGAGAGGGUAGUGGAAUUCCCAGUGUAGCGGUGAAAUGCGUAGAUAUUGGGAAGAACACCAGUAGCGAAGGCGGCUACCUGGCUCGCAACUGACGCUAAGGCGCGAAAGCGUGGGGAGCAAACAGGAUUAGAUACCCUGGUAGUCCACGCUGUAAACGAUGAACACUAGGUGUUGGUUUGCCGUAGGCUGAUCAGUGCCGCAGUUAACGCAUUAAGUGUUCCGCCUGGGGAGUACGAUCGCAAGGUUGAAACUCAAAGGAAUUGACGGGGGCCCGCACAAGCGGUGGAGCAUGUGGUUUAAUUCGAU